GGGGAAUUAGCUCACUUGGUAGAGCGCCUGCCUUGCAAGCAGGAGGUAGCCAGUUCGACCCUGGCAUUCUCCA
rnacentral:tRNA from 1 species